GAUGAACGCUGGCGGCGUGCCUAAUACAUGCAAGUCGAGCGAACAGACGAGGAGCUUGCUCCUCUGACGUUAGCGGCGGACGGGUGAGUAACACGUGGAUAACCUACCUAUAAGACUGGGAUAACUUCGGGAAACCGGAGCUAAUACCGGAUAAUAUAUUGAACCGCAUGGUUCAAUAGUGAAAGACGGUUUUGCUGUCACUUAUAGAUGGAUCCGCGCCGCAUUAGCUAGUUGGUAAGGUAACGGCUUACCAAGGCAACGAUGCGUAGCCGACCUGAGAGGGUGAUCGGCCACACUGAAACUGAGACACGGUCCAGACUCCUACGGGAGGCAGCAGUAGGGAAUCUUCCGCAAUGGGCGAAAGCCUGACGGAGCAACGCCGCGUGAGUGAUAAAGGUCUUCGGAUCGUAAAACUCUGUUAUUAGGGAAAAACAAAUGUGUAAGUAACUAUGCACGUCUUGACGGUACCUAAUCAGAAAGCCACGGCUAACUACGUG
rnacentral:rRNA from 1 species